UUGAGAGCGGAAUAGCAGGUCUUUAUGUUCGUAAAAAUUUUAAUUAUUUGUACUCUAAUAAACCAUAAAAUAUUCUCUUAAACUGGUUAAAUAUUCUGUAAAUAAUAUGCUCUUUAAUUACUUAAAAUAAUUUGAAAGUCAACUUUAUGCCAGUUACAACAGAAAGCAUCCACAUUUUUCUCCGUUGUUGAACUGCAUAAAGUCAAGUGAUAUAAUAUGUAAAAACCUAAAAAUUCUCUAUCUAAAUUCAUGAACAUUAGAAAAUUCUGAAUAUUCCAUUAUGUUUGUGGUUCGCUCAAUGGAUUUUAUCAUGAUUUUUAAAUGGAAAUCAGUGAUAUAAAUGUCGAGUCUGUGGAAGAUGAAUGACUUGUGAUGUUGAAAGUCUUAAAGAUUCACACGUGAUUCAUCCAAAGGCAUGUAUUCAAGUUCUCAAAGUAAUUGAUUUUGAAAUUGAGAGCUGAACUCACUAAGAGCAGUUCAAUUUGAAUCACCUUUGGAAUUCUUACAAGAUUUUAAUUCCUCCAACAAAGAACUGAACGUGGACAAGAAGUGGAAUUUCAAGGCGAUGGAUUGGACAACAUGUUCAAACAUCUUAAUGUGUAUUCUUUGAUACAUCUUCUUUAGUAUUACAAGUCCAUUGCAUAUAUUUUUAGUGAAGGCAGAUACUCCAAAAGCAACGAUGUGAAUAAAAAACAUUAUAGAGUGAUGGAUGAAAGAUUAGCAGAAAAAAUUGGUGACAUCACAUUCAAUUAAGUCACUAUCAGCACCAAUGCUGAUAUAGAAAUCAAGUCAAUACUUUUGAAAGAGGGCAGUAAUAUAGCAGUGAUACCAUUGUCAACAAAUUCAAUAUACAUCUUUAGCAUCGUCAUUUUAAUCAGCCAAUAUCAAUAAUAGUAUAAUAAUACAUACCUAUCUAAAUUGUUCUAAAUAGUAUAUACAGUCAAAUCCGCUUAAUUGGGACACAUCGGGCGGUUACCUAUUUGUUCCCAUUAUCCAGACUAUCCCGAUUAACCGAAGAAUUUUACAUACAAUACAUUCAUUCAGGACUAUCAUUAAUGUCCCCAUUAAGCAGGUGUCCCCUUUAAGUGGUGUCCCGAAUAAGCGGAUUCUACUGUACUUGUAAUAUUUAAUAUAAUUUUUUUGUUACAAAUUUCUCUUGUAUAGUAAUUGUAUGUCUAUAACUUUGAUUUCAACAAUAUAGUAUCUUAAGUAUACAAGCUAAUAUAUUAAAUCUAUUGGUAAUACACCUUUUUUUUGUUAUUUUCUUCAAUCCAGACAACCUAGAGCCCCAAUUAGUCCGGAUUAAAGAGGUUUUACUGUACAUAUAUAUAUAUAUAUUUGUAUAUUAUUAUGUGAUAAAUAAUAAUACAUGAUCAUUGAUAACACACACAAUAUAACAUCAACAAAAACAGAACAAGUUUUAUACAUGUACUAUAUUUUAUACAUAACGAAUCAUCUUAAUAUGAUAAUUAAGUUAAAUGACAAAAACAAA